UGGGGAAUUUUGCACAAUGGGCGCAAGCCUGAUGCAGCGACGCCGCGUGAGGGAUGAAGGCCUUCGGGUUGUAAACCUUUUUCGCUCAUGGUCAAGCCGCAGCUUUGGGUUGUGGUGAGGGUAGUGGGUAAAGAAGCGCCGGCUAACUACGUGCCAGCAGCCGCGGUAAUACGUAGGGCGCGAGCGUUGUCCGGAAUUAUUGGGCGUAAAGGGCUUGUGGCGGUUGGCCGCGUCUGCCGUGAAAUCCUCUGGCUUAACUGGGGGCGUGCGGUGGGUACGGGUUGACUUGAGUGCGGUAGGGGAGACUGGAAUUCCUGGUGUAGCGGUGGAAUGCGCAGAUAUCAGGAGGAACACCGGUGGCGAAGGCGGGUCUCUGGGCCGUUACUGACGCUGAGGAGCGAAAGCGUGGGGAGCGAACAGG
rnacentral:rRNA from 1 species